GUCCUUUCGGCCCUUCCCUGAUAUGCUGGCUAGUUCUUGCCGGCUUGACACAAACUGGAGACAUCUGGGAGGAGGGCCCCUCAAUGGAGGAAUUAUCUUCACAGGUGGUCCUGGAAGGCAUUAAGAAAGGUAGCUGGAGGCGUUUUGUUAC